UUUCUCUUUUCUCUGUACAUGUAUGUAUAACUCUGUAUAUACACACAACAAUACAGACACACAAAAACGAGUUAAAUUCGCCGAGCUGACUCAGUGAGUUAAUCAUGUCGAUACGAUUUAAGUUCCGAAGCGCCGUGAGCUUCGACGCGGUUGAUAUCGGCGAGCGGCCGGCGAUCUCAGUCGGAGAGCUGAAGUCGAAGAUCAUCGCUCAGAAAAAUCUCAAUUUGUGCCAGGGAUUCGAUCUCGUGUUCUCUGAUCAUCUCACCGGCCAAGAGUAUGGCGACGAAAACUAUCAAAUUCCAAGCAAUUCGAGUGUCAUCAUCAAGAGAGUUCCUGCUGAAUCAGUGUCUCCAGCUUUGUUAGGAGGCCAAAAUCUUCAAACAAAUGACCUUGUUGAGGUUAUUCCCAAAGGUCCUGAUCAUAAUGGCACCAAAGGGAAAUUACCACCAGAAAAGCUUGAACCAGAAGUCCAAGAGCAUGUAAAGCUGGAGCCAGAAAUCCAAGAGAAUGUAAAGCUGGAACCAGAAGUCCAAGAGAAUGAGAAGCUGGGAAAAGCGAUCGACCCCUAUGAUUUAGCAGAGAAAAAUCCUUCCUUAAUACCAGAAUUUAGAUGCCCCAUUUGCACGAAGGUUCUAAAGGAGGCUGUGAUGACACGUUGCUGCCAGCGCAGCUUUUGUGAAAGAUGUAUUUGUGGAGUCCUCAAUGAAAAGUCAAAGUGCCCUAAAUGUUCUUCUGACAAAUUUAAGGCAGAGGAUUUACUGCCGAAUGUGUCACUGAGGCUAGCAAUUAUGCAACUUCUUGAAUCUCAAAUUCAAUGUUCUAUCUCAGAAACUGCAUUGCGGAGAUAUGCCCCAGAUGAAGAAUCUGGUAUCCAGGCUAACGGUCUCUCUAGUGCUCUGACUAUCUAUCAGAAGAGGCAAACAAAUGUUCUUUACGCUUCUGCUACUGAGAAAGGAUCAAACCGCUUACUGGGAGAAUCUUAUCAUGGUGAAUUGAAAACCGGAUAUCAUCCAGGUCUUGCUGAUUGCCAAGGAGAGAAUCAUCCCUUCAAUUUGCAUCAAAAUCAUGGGCGAGAGAAAGGUGAAAACAGAAAAGUUUCAACUACUGCUAGAUACAGAAAGGCGGACCGUACAUGUUACAUGUGUGACGCUCCUAACCAUCUUAUAAAAGAAUGUCCCUUUGUCAAUGGUCCACAUCCUUGGCUACAGACAGGUAAUUCUAUGUAUUCAGUGGGGGCGAGACCAACUUUUGCAGCACCAUAUUGGAACAACACUGCAUAUGGUCCUAUGAGGCCUUUUACUAAUUUAUAUGCAAAUCAUGGAAUGAUGCCCUAUAAUUCGUCUAUGUUUCCGGUCUCACCUGUUGGUGUUUCUCCAUACAUGGCAGCUAUAACUGCCCAUAGUGGCUUUCAAAGUAUGGCUGGUAUGGCACCCCUAGCAGGAAACAGAACAGAAUAUCCCUUUAGGCAUGAAGAUUUUUUGAAAAUUGAGAGUUGCGACAUCAGAGGGAACCGGUCAAAGGAAUACAUGAUGAGAAAACAGCCCAGUGAUGAUGAUGGUGCCGGCAUACAGACGAAUCGCCAUAAUCUGCCAAAAAGUUCAGAAGAAUACUUAUUUCAUAAAGAGAGGAAAAACAGUGGGAGCUACUCGGGGGAGAAAAAACCUCGAAGAUCGCGUGGUGAUGAUCUUCAUGCCGGAGAUUUUGAUUGUAAAGCACACUCUCGGCAUGAUCGACAUGGGAAGAACUCUCGGUCAUUAACUAGAACAGGAGAUAGGAAAGCAUAUCACAGGGAGAGAUCAAAUUCUGGCGCGGAAGAUAUGUCCAACAGCCCUGAUAGAUAUGUUGAUGAAAGGCAUAAACAUCGUCAUCAUAAAAUCACCAGGAACCAUUAUGAGCGAAGGGGGCAUUUUGGCAGUGAUUCUAAUUGGAACGAGGGUUGUGAUGGCCAGAAAGAUAAAAGAAGGGUUUACUCUGAUGAAAAAGGUUUUAGUAAGAAGCAUGCCUGCUCGUUUGGCUCUGGUGAAGAAUCAAGUUUUUCUGGCGAUUGGGAAAAGCGGCGGAGAGAGGGAGUUCACAUUAGAAGUUCCAAACAUGCUAGAGAAGGCACUAAAUACACUCGAGAUGAAUUAUUUUGUAGGUCCAAAAUGGUCAGGCGGGAUGAGGACUCUGGAAAGGACAAUUAUCAACUGAAGCGGAAAAGAGUUUACUAAAAGGAUAAGAUAUUAAAAAAUGCAUGGCUUGAAGGUGAAUGUGUAAAUGAAGUAACAUAUAUAUGCCAUGUGGUACCUGUUCAAUACAGUCAGAUCUUUAGAGUGGUGGAUCUUUGGACAGUAACAUCAGAAUUAACUGUUGUUAAUUUGUGCCAACUAACCCUUUUCACAUAUUUAACUUGAGGUGCGGAAGCUAGUUAGAAAUGUUUUUGCCAGAUAAGUGGCUGUAGAAAGGUAGGAUUUUGACGUUCACCUGCUGUUCAACCAUCCUUUUCCAUGAAGAUACUGUAGCUGUUUAAGGUAUGUACUCUACUUGAAAACUGCUGCUACCUCACCGUGUGCGUGAGAUUUGAAACGAAGAAAACAGGAAAAUGAAUUUAAGUGGUCUUCUCCAUAUUUCUUAUCCAAUAGUUCUAUGGAGGGAGCAAAGGGGAACAGGGAUGGUGGGAUCCAAACCCAAUUUACAAAUGGAAAACAAAUCACCAUCAUAUUUUGAAACCGUUGGAUUGUGCUCUAUAAGUAAUCAACUACCAUAUAACGUCUUCUUAUGAACAAACAGAAGCUGCAAGAAGACUGCAGUCUGUUUUUUCCCUGGAUUAAAUUCAUUUUCGUUCUGUUUUCAGUCUCACUAACACGGUGGUAGUCGUUUGCAUUACUUUUAGAUUGCGUUUGGGAACGUAUUUCAUUUCAAAUUUUGGAUUUUAAAUGACAUGAUUUGAUGUCUCAUUUCAUCAAAUUCUCAUCUUUAUACUAGUAUUUGAGUGUCCUGGAUUUCAAAUGAAAUUCAAAUCUAUGUUUUUUUGUGCAUCCAAACAUGUCAUUUGAUCAAAUCCAGGAUUUCAAAUGAAAUCCAAGUUUCCAAACAAACCAUUCUAUUACUCUAAAUAUUCAGUUCUUGCAUCUAAAUAGUUAUAUAAUAUAGAAUUUAAAUGGGUUUAUUUGCCUGAGGAAACCAUUGAAUGACAAUUUUUCUUGCUCAAGUAGCCAGAAAGACAGGGAUCAAAUUUGACUUUCUGAUUGCCACUUUCAGAGAUCAGACCAUUCUGAGGAAAAGGUAUUGAUUUCCCUUGAUUAUACAAAAUUUGGGCUUUUUUUUAUAGCCAGAAAAACAAUAUAAUAUGGUGUUUGACCUGAACAUUUAGUAAUUAUGU